AUGGAGAGCGCAACAACACCGUCGGCCAUCGCCAUGGAGGAUAGCCAGAGCAUCCAGACGUCGUUGGAAAAUUCCUUGGCCGACAUGCUGCCGUCGAUGGAAAAACUAAGGGCCGAUCUCAAGAGAGCAAACACGUACUUCUGCGUGCCGGACAAGCUCGACGCCUGGGCUGCUGCGUGCUUCGGGUUGGGGACGGAGCCCGACGCCGCGGCAUGCACCAGCGCGCAGGCGGCGCUGCUCAAGUGCAUAUCAGAUCUAUCCACCUCCUACCAGGAGGAACCGCAGACGCAAGGGAACUCCAGUUGA
rnacentral:rRNA from 1 species